GUUGAGAUGACUGAGUAGGUUUAAGGUGCCAGAUUAAUGUUCUGGUUCAAAAGGGUAUGGGUUCAAAUCCCACUCUCAAUA
rnacentral:tRNA from 1 species